GAUGAACGCUGGCGGCGUGCCUAAUACAUGCAAGUCGAGCGAACGGACGAGAAGCUUGCUUCUCUGAUGUUAGCGGCGGACGGGUGAGUAACACGUGGAUAACCUACCUAUAAGACUGGGAUAACUUCGGGAAACCGGAGCUAAUACCGGAUAAUAUUUUGAACCGCAUGGUUCAAAAGUGAAAGACGGUCUUGCUGUCACUUAUAGAUGGAUCCGCGCUGCAUUAGCUAGUUGGUAAGGUAACGGCUUACCAAGGCAACGAUGCAUAGCCGACCUGAGAGGGUGAUCGGCCACACUGGAACUGAGACACGGUCCAGACUCCUACGGGAGGCAGCAGUAGGGAAUCUUCCGCAAUGGGCGAAAGCCUGACGGAGCAACGCCGCGUGAGUGAUGAAGGUCUUCGGAUCGUAAAACUCUGUUAUUAGGGAAGAACAUAUGUGUAAGUAACUGUGCACAUCUUGACGGUACCUAAUCAGAAAGCCACGGCUAACUACGUGCCAGCAGCCGCGGUAAUACGUAGGUGGGCAGCGUUAUCCGGAAUUAUUGGGCGUAAAGCGCGCGUAGCGGUUUUUAAGUCUGAUGUGAAAGCCCACGGCUCAACCGUGGAGGGUCAUUGGAAACUGGAAAACUUGAGUGCAGGAGAGGAAAGUGGAAUUCCAUGUGUAGCGGUGAAAUGCGCAGAGAUAUGGAGGAACACCAGUGGCGAAGGCGACUUUCUGGUCUGUAACUGACGCUGAUGUGCGAAAGCGUGGGGAUCAAACAGGAUUAGAUACCCUGGUAGUCCACGCCGUAAACGAUGAGUGCUAAGUGUUAGGGGGUUUCCGCCCCUUAGUGCUGCAGCUAACGCAUUAAGCACUCCGCCUGGGGAGUACGACCGCAAGGUUGAAACUCAAAGGAAUUGACGGGGACCCGCACAAGCGGUGGAGCAUGUGGUUUAAUUCGAAGCAACGCGAAGAACCUUACCAAAUCUUGACAUCCUUUGACAACUCUAGAGAUAGAGCCUUCCCCUUCGGGGGACAAAGUGACAGGUGGUGCAUGGUUGUCGUCAGCUCGUGUCGUGAGAUGUUGGGUUAAGUCCCGCAACGAGCGCAACCCUUAAGCUUAGUUGCCAUCAUUAAGUUGGGCACUCUAAGUUGACUGCCGGUGACAAACCGGAGGAAGGUGGGGAUGACGUCAAAUCAUCAUGCCCCUUAUGAUUUGGGCUACACACGUGCUACAAUGGACAAUACAAAGGGCAGCGAAACCGCGAGGUCAAGCAAAUCCCAUAAAGUUGUUCUCAGUUCGGAUUGUAGUCUGCAACUCGACUACAUGAAGCUGGAAUCGCUAGUAAUCGUAGAUCAGCAUGCUACGGUGAAUACGUUCCCGGGUCU
rnacentral:rRNA from 1 species